GCUUGGAGCUGGAGUUGAACCAGGGACCUUUGGACCACAGCGUUUCAGGAACUUCUUAAAGUCCUCUGCUCUACCAAAUGAGCUAUGAAGGUGCUUAUAGACACAAACGCAGAAAACAUAGUGGCUUCCGCGACACUCUUUGCCGACAUAACUAUUGAACCAACAUGGUCAAUGAAAAAGGUUGAACAGUGCAUACACCAAUGAAAUCUGGUGUUUGGAGCUGGAGUUGAACUAGCGACCUUUGGACAACAGCGUUUCAGGAACUUCUUAAAGUCAUGUGAUCUACCAACUGAGCUAUGAAGGUGCUUAUUGACACAAACGCAGAAAACAUAGUAGCUUCGGCGACACACUUUGCCAACAUAACUAUUGGACCCACAUGGUCAAUGAAAAAGGUUGAACAGUGCAUACACCAAUGAAAUCUGGUGUUUGGAGCUGGAGUUGAACCAGCGAUGUUUGGACCACAGCUUUUUAGGAACUUCUUAAAGUGAUGUGCUCUACCAACUGAGCUAUGAAGGUGCUUAUAGACACAAACGCAGAAAACAUAGUGGCUUCGGCGACACACUUUGCCAACAUAACUAUUGAACCAACAUGGUCAAUGAAAAAGGUUGAACAGUGCAUACACCAAUGAAAUCUGGUGUUUGGAGCUGGAGUUGAACCAGCGUCCUUUGGACCACAGCGUUUAAGGAACUUCUUAAAGUCAUGUGCUCUACCAACUGAGCUAUGAAGGUGCUUAUAGAUAAAAACGCAGAAAACAUAGUGGCUUCGGCGACACACUUUGCCAAGACAACAAUCAAGCCACCUGGUCAAUGAAAAAGGAUGAACAGUGCAUAUACAAAUGAAAUCUGGUGCUUGGAGCUGGAGUUGAACCAGGGACCUUUGGACCACAGCGUUUCAGGAACUUCUUACAGUCAUGUGCUCUACCAACUGAGCUAUGAAGGUGCUUAUAGAUGAAAACGCAGAAAACAUAGUGGCUUCGGCGACACACUUUGCCAACACAACAAUCAAGCCACCUGGUCAAUGAAAAAGGUUGAACAGUGCAUAGACCAAUGAAAUCUGGUGUUUGGAGCAGGAGUUGAACAAGCGACCUUUGGACCACAGCGUUUCAGGAACUUCUUAAAGUCAUGUGCUCUACCAACUGAGCUAUGAAGGUGCUUAUAGAUAAAAACGCAGAAAACAUAGUGGCUUCGGCGACACACUUUGCCAAAACAACAAUCAAGCCACCUGGUCAAUGAAAAAGGAUGAACAGUGCAUAGACCAAUGAAAUGUGGUGUUUGGAGCAGGAGUUGAACCAGCGACCUUUGGACCACAGCGUUUCGGGAACUUCUUAAAGUCAUGUGCUCUACCAACUGAGCUAUGAAGGUGCUUAUAGAUAAAAACGCAGAAAACAUAGUGGCUUCGGCGACACACUUUGCCAAAACAACAAUCAAGCCACGUGGUCAAUGAAAAAGGAUGAACAGUGCAUAUACAAAUGAAAUCUGGUGCUUGGAGCUGGAGUUGAACCAGCGACCUUUGGACCACAGCGUUUUAGGAACUUCUUAAAGUCAUGUGCUCUACCAACUGAGCUAUGAAGGUGCUUAUAGAUAAAAACGCAGAAAACAUAGUGGCUUCGGCGACACACUUUGCCAACAUAACUAUUGAACCAACAUGGUCAAUGAAAAAGGUUGAACAGUGCAUAGACCAAUGAAAUGUGGUGUUUGGAGCAGGAGUUGAACCAGCGUCCUUUGGACCACAGCGUUUCAGGAACUUCUUAAAGUCAUGUGCUCUACCAAAUGAGCUAUGAAGGUGCUUAUAGACACAAACGCAGAAAACAUAGUGGCUUCGGCGACACACUUUGCCAACAAUACAAUUGGACCCACAUGGUCAAUGAAAAAGGUUGAACAGUGCAUAGACCAAUGAAAUCUGGUGUUUGGAGCAGGAGUUGAACCAGCGUCCUUUGGACCACAGCGUUUCAGGAACUUCUUAAAGUCAUGUGCUCUACCAACUGAGCUAUGAAGGUGCUUAUAGAUAAAAACGCAGAAAACAUAGUGGCUUCGGCGACACACUUUGCCAACAUAACUAUUGAACCAACAUGGUCAAUGAAAAAGGAUGAACAGUGCAUAUACAAAUGAAAUCUGGUGCUUGGAGCUGGAGUUGAACCAGGGACCUUUGGACCACAGCGUUUCAGGAACUUCUUAAAGUCAUGUGCUCUACCAACUGAGCUAUGAAGGUGCUUAUAGAUAAAAACGCAGAAAACAUAGUGGCUUCGGCGACACACUUUGCCAACAUAACUAUUGAACCAACAUGGUCAAUGAAAAAGGUUGAACAGUGCAUACACCAAUGAAAUCUGGUGCUUGGAGCUGGAGUUGAACCAGCGUCCUUUGGACCACAGCGUUUCAGGAACUUCUUAAAGUCAUGUGCUCUACCAACUGAGCUAUGAAGGUGCUUAUAGAUAAAAACGCAGAAAACAUAGUGGCUUCGGCGACACACUUUUCCAACAAUACAAUUGGACCCACAUGGUCAAUGAAAAAGGUUGAACAGUGCUUAGACAAAUGAAAUCUGGUGUUUGGAGCAGGAGUUGAACCAGCGACCUUUGGACAACAGCGUUUCAGGAACUUCUUAAAGUCAUGUGCUCUACCAACUGAGCUAUGAAGGUGCUUAUAGAUAAAAACGCAGAAAACAUAGUGGCUUCGGCGACACACUUUGCCAAAACAACAAUCAAGCCACCUGGUCAAUGAAAAAGGAUGAAUAGUGCAUAUACAAAUGAAAUCUGGUGCUUGGAGCUGGAGUUGAACCAGGGACCUUUGGACCACAGCGUUUCAGGAACUUCUUAAAGUCAUGUGCUCUACCAACUGAGCUAUGAAGGUGCUUAUAGAUAAAAACGCAGAAAACAUAGUGGCUUCGGCGACACACUUUGCCAACAAUACAAUUGGACCCACAUGGUCAAUGAAAAAGGUUGAACAGUGCUUAGACAAAUGAAAUCUGGUGUUUGGAGCAGGAGUUCAACCAGCGACCUUUGGACCACAGCGUUUCAGGAACUUCUUAAAGUCAUGUGCUCUACCAACUGAGCUAUGAAGGUGCUUAUAGAUAAAAACGCAGAAAACAUAGUGGCUUCGGCGACACACUUUGCCAAAACAACAAUCAAGCCACCUGGUCAAUGAAAAAGGAUGAACAGUGCAUAUACAAAUGAAAUCUGGUGCUUGGAGCUGGAGUUGAACCAGGGACCUUUGGACCACAGCGUUUCAGGAACUUCUUAAAGUCAUGUGCUCUACCAACUGAGCUAUGAAGGUGCUUAUAGAUAAAAACGCAGAAAACAUAGUGGCUUCGGCGACACACUUUGCCAACAUAACUAUUGAACCAACAUGGUCAAUGAAAAAGGUUGAACAGUGCAUAUACAAAUGAAAUCUGGUGCUUGGAGCUGGAGUUGAACCAGGGACCUUUGGACCACAGCGUUUCAGGAACUGCUUACAGUCAUGUGCUCUACCAACUGAGCUAUGAAGGUGCUUAUAGACACAAACGCAGAAAACAUAGUGGCUUCGGUGACACACUUUGCCAACACAACAAUCAAGCCACCUGGUCAAUGAAAAAGGUUGAACAGUGCUUAGACCAAUGAAAUCUGGUGUUUGGAGCAGGAGUUGAACCAGCGACCUUUGGACCACAGCCUUACAGGAACUUCUUAAAGUCAUGUGCUCUAGCAACAGAGCUAUGAAGGAUGAAAACGCAGAAAACAUAGUGGCUUCGGCGACACACUUUGCCAAAACAACAAUCAAGCCACCUGGUCAUUGAAAAAGGAUGAACAGUGCAUAUACAAAUGAAAUCUGGUGAUUGGAGCUAGAUGAACCAGGGACCUUUGGACCACAGCGUUUCAGGAACUUCUUAAAGUCAUGUGCUCUACCAACUGAGCUAUGAAGGUGCUUAUAGAUGAAAACGCAGAAAACAUAGUGGCUUUUGGCGACACACUUUGCCAACACAACAAUCAAGCCACCUGGUCAAUGAAAAAGGAUGAACAGUGCAUAUACAAAUGACAACUGGAUGCUUGGAGCUGGAGUUGAACCAGCGACCUUUGGACCACAGCGUUUCGGGAACUUCUUAAAGUCAUGUGCUCUACCAACUGAGCUAUGAAGGUGCUUAUAGAUAAAAACGCAGAAAACAUAGUGGCUUCGACGACACACUUUGCCAAAACAACAAUAAAGCCACCUGGUCAAUGAAAAAGGAUGAACAGUGCAUAUACAAAUGAAAUCUGGUGCUUGGAGCUGGAGUUGAACCAGCGACCUUUGGACCACAGCGUUUUAGGAACUUCUUAAAGUCAUGUGCUCUACCAACUGAGCUAUGAAGGUGCUAAUAGAUAAAAACGCAGAAAACAUAGUGGCUUCGGCGACACACUUUGCCAACAUAACUAUUGAACCAACAUGGUCAAUGAAAAAGGAUGAACAGUGCAUAUACAAAUGAAAUCUGGUGCUUGGAGCUGGAGUUGAACCAGCGACCUUUGGACCACAGCGAUUCAGGAACUUCUUAAAGUCAUGUGCUCUACAAUCUGAGCUAUGAAGGUUUUUAUAAACACAUAGCAGAAAACAUAGUGGCUUCGGCGACACACUUUGCAAACAUAACUAUUGAACCAACAUGGUCAAUGAAAAAGGUUGAACAGUGCAUACAACAAUGAAAUCUGGUGUUUGGAGCUGGAGUUGAACCAGCAUCCUUUGGACCACAGCGUUUCAGGAACUUCUUAAAGUCAUGUGCUCUACCAACUGAGCUAUGAAGGUGCUUAUAGAUAAAAACGCAGAAAACAUAGUGGCUUCGGCGACACACUUUGCAAACAAUACAAUUGGACCCACAUGGUCAAUGAAAAAGGUUGAACAGUGCAUAGACCAAUGAAAUGUGGUGUUUGGAGCAAGAGUUGAACCAGCGACCUUUGGACCACAGCGUUUCAGGAACUUCUUAAAGUCAUGUGCUCUACCAACUGAGCUAUGAAGGUGCUUAUAGAUGAAAACGCAGAAAACAUAGUGGCUUCGGCGACACACUUUGCCAAAACAACAAUCAAGCCACCUGGUCAAUGAAAAAGGAUGAACAGUGCAUAUACAAAUGACAACUGGAUGCUUGGAGCUGGAGUUGAACCAGCGACCUUUGGACCACAGCGUUUCGGGAACUUCUUAAAGUCAUGUGCUCUACCAACUGAGCUAUGAAGGUGCUUAUAGAUGAAAACGCAGAAAACAUAGUGGCUUCGGCGACACACUUUGCCAAAACAACAAUCAAGCCACCUGGUCAUUGAAAAAGGAUGAACAGUGCAUAUACAAAUGAAAUCUGGUGAUUGGAGCUAGAUGAACCAGGGACCUUUGGACCACAGCGUUUCAGGAACUUCUUAAAGUCAUGUGGUCUACCAACUGAGCUAUGAAGGUGCUUAUAGAUACAACCGCAGAAAACAUAGUGGCUUCGGCGACACACUUUGCCGACAUAACUAUUGGACCCACAUGGUCAAUGAAAAAGGAUGAACAGUGCAUAUACCAAUGAAAUCUGGUGCUUGGAGCUGGAGUUGAACCAGCAACCUUUGGACCACAGCGUUUCAGGAACUUCUUAAAGUCCUCUGCUCUACCAAAUGAGCUAUGAAGGUGCUUAUAGACACAAACGCAGAAAACAUAGUGGCUUCCGCGACACUCUUUGCCGACAUAACUAUUGAACCAACAUGGUCAAUGAAAAAGGUUGAACAGUGCAUAAACCAAUGAAAUCUGGUGUUUGGAGCAGGAGUUGAACCAGCGACCUUUGGACCACAGCGUUUCAGGAACUUCUUAAAGUCAUGUGCUCUACCAACUGAGCUAUGAAGGUGCUUAUAAAUAAAACCGCAGAAAACAUAGUGGCUUCGGCGACACACUUUGCCAACAUAACUAUUGAACCAACAUGGUCAAUGAAAAAGGUUGAACAGUGCAUAUACAAAUGAAAUCUGGUGCUUGGAGCUGGAGUUGAAACAGCAACCUUUGGACCACAGCGUUUCAGGAACUUCUUAAAGUCAUGUGCUCUACCAACUGAGCUAUGAAGGUGCUUAUAGACACAAACGCAGAAAACAUAGUGGCUUCGGCGACACACUUUGCCAACAUAACUAUUGAACCAACAUGGUCAAUGAAAAAGGUUGAACAGUGCAUACACCAAUGAAAUCUGGUGUUUGGAGCUGGAGUUGAACCAGCGUCCUUUGGACCACAGCGUUUAAGGAACUUCUUAAAGUCAUGUGCUCUACCAACUGAGCUAUGAAGGUGCUUAUAGAUAAAAACGCAGAAAACAUAGUGGCUUCGGCGACACACUUUGCCAACAUAACUAUUGGACCCACAUGGUCAAUGAAAAAGGUUGAACAGUGCAUAUACAAAUGAAAUCUGGUGCUUGGAGCAGGAGUUGAACCAGGGACCUUUGGACCACAGCGUUUCAGGAACUUCUUACAGUCAUGUGCUCUACCAACUGAGCUAUGAAGGUGCUUAUAGAUGAAAACGCAGAAAACAUAGUGGCUUCGGCGACACACUUUGCCAACACAACAAUCAAGCCACCUGGUCAAUGAAAAAGGUUGAACAGUGCAUAGACCAAUGAAAUCUGGUGUUUGGAGCAGGAGUUGAACCAGCGACCUUUGGACCACAGCGUUUAAGGAACUUCUUAAAGUCAUGUGCUCUACCAACUGAGCUAUGAAGGUGCUUAUAGAUACAACCGCAGAAAACAUAGUGGCUUCGGCGACACACUUUGCCGACAUAACUAUUGGACCCACAUGGUCAAUGAAAAAGGAUGAACAGUGCAUAUACCAAUGAAAUUUGGUGCUUGGAGCUGGAGUUGAACCAGCGACCUUUGGACCACAGCGUUUCAGGAACUUCUUAAAGUCCUCUGCUCUACCAAAUGAGCUAUGAAGGUGCUUAUAGACACAAACGCAGAAAACAUAGUGGCUUCCGCGACACUCUUUGCUGACAUAACUAUUGAACCAACAUGGUCAAUGAAAAAGGUUGAACAGUGCAUACACCAAUGAAAUCUGGUGUUUGGAGCUGGAGUUGAACUAGCGACCUUUGGACCACAGCGUUUCAGGAACUUCUUAAAGUCAUGUGCUCUACCAACUGAGCUAUGAAGGUGCUUAUUGACACAAACGCAGAAAACAUAGUGGCUUCGGCGACACACUUUGCCAACAUAACUAUUGGACCCACAUGGUCAAUGAAAAAGGUUGAACAGUGCAUACACCAAUGAAAUCUGGUGUUUUGAGCUGGAGUUGAACCAGCGAUGUUUGGACCACAGCUUUUUAGGAACUUCUUAAAGUCAUGUGCUCUAGCAACUGAGCUAUGAAGGUGGUUAUAGAUAGGAACGCAGAAAACAUAGUGGCUUCGGCGACACACUUUGCCAACAUAACUAUUGAACCAACAUGGUCAAUGAAAAAGGUUGAACAGUGCAUACACCAAUGAAAUCUGGUGUUUGGAGCUGGAGUCGAACCAGCGUCCUUUGGACCACAGCGUUUAAGGAACUUCUUAAAGUCAUGUGCUCUACCAACUGAGCUAUGAAGGUGCUUAUAGAUAAAAACGCAGAAAACAUAGUGGCUUCGGCGACACACUUUGCCAAAACAACAAUCAAGCCACCUGGUCAAUGAAAAAGGAUGAACAGUGCAUAUACAAAUGAAAUCUGGUGCUUGGAGCUGGAGUUGAACGAGGGACCUUUGGACCACAGCGUUUCAGGAACUUCUUACAGUCAUGUGCUCUACCAACUGAGCUAUGAAGGUGCUUAUAGAUGAAAACGCAGAAAACAUAGUGGCUUCGGCGACACACUUUGCCAACACAAUAAUCAAGCCACCUGGUCAAUGAAAAAGGUUGAACAGUGCAUAGACCAAUGAAAUGUGGUGUUUGGAGCAGGAGUUGAACAAGCGACCUUUGGACCACAGCGUUUCGGGAACUUCUUAAAGUCAUGUGCUCUACCAACUGAGCUAUGAAGGUGCUUAUAGAUAAAAACGCAGAAAACAUAGUGGCUUCGGCGACACACUUUGCCAAAACAACAAUCAGGCCACCUGGUCAAUGAAAAAGGAUGAACAGUGCAUAUACAAAUGAAAUCUGGUGGUUGGAGCUGGAGUUGAACCAGCGACCUUUGGACCACAGCGUUUUAGGAACUUCUUAAAGUCAUGUGCUCUACCAACUGAGCUAUGAAGGUGCUUAUAGAUAAAAACGCAGAAAACAUAGUUGCUUCGGCGACACACUUUGCCAACAUAACUAUUGAUCCAACAUGGUCAAUGAAAAAGGUUGAACAGUGCAUAGACCAAUGAAAUGUGGUGUUUGAAGCAGGAGUUGAACCAGCGUCCUUUGGACCACAGCGUUUCAGGAACUUCUUAAAGUCAUGUGCUCUACCAACUGAGCUAUGAAGGUGCUUAUAGACACAAACGCAGAAAACAUAGUGGCUUCGGCGACACACUUUGCCAACAUAACUAUUGAACCAACAUGGUCAAUGAAAAAGGUUGAACAGUGCAUAUACAAAUGAAAUCUGGUGUUUGGAGCUGGAGUUGAACCAGCAACCUUUGGACCACAGCGUUUCAGGAACUUCUUAAAGUCAUGUGCUCUACCAACUGAGCUAUGAAGGUGCUUAUAGAUAAAAACGCAGAGAACAUAGUGGCUUCGGCGACACACUUUGCCACCAUAACUAUUGAACCAACAUGGUCAAUGAAAAAGGUUGAACAGUGCAUACACCAAUGAAAUCUGGUGUUUGGAGCUGGAGUUGAACCAGCGUCCUUUGGACCACAGCGUUUAAGGAACUUCUUAAAGUCAUGUGCUCUACCAACUGAGCUAUGAAGGUGCUUAUAGAUAAAAACGCAGAAAACAUAGUGGCUUCGGCGACACACUUUGCCAACAAUACAAUUGGACCCACAUGGUCAAUGAAAAAGGUUGAACAGUGCUUAGACAAAUGAAAUCUGGUGUUUGGAGAUGGAGUUGAACCAGCGACCUUUGGACCACAGCGUUUCAGGAACUUCUUACAGUCAUGUGCUCUACCAACUGAGCUAUGAAGGUGCUUAUAGAUAAAAACGCAGAAAACAUAGUGGCUUCGGCGACACACUUUGCCAAAACAACAAUCAAGCCACCUGGUCAAUGAAAAAGGAUGAACAGUGCAUAUACAAAUGAAAUCUGGUGCUUGGAGCUGGAGUUGAACCAGGGACCUUUGGACAACAGCGUUUCAGGAACUUCUUACAGUCAUGUGCUCUACCAACUGAGCUAUGAAGGUGCUUAUAGAUGAAAACGCAGAAAACAUAGUGGCUUCGGCGACACACUUUGCCAACACAACAAUCAAGCCACCUGGUCAAUGAAAAAGGUUGAACAGUGCAUAAAUCAAUGAAAUCUGGUGUUUGGAGCAGGAGUUGAACCAGCGACCUUUGGACCACAGCAUUUCAGGAACUUCUUAAAGUCAUGUGCUCUACCAACUGAGCUAUGAAGGUCCUUUUAGAUAAAAACGCAGAAAACAUAGUGGCUUCGGCGACACACUUUGCCAAAACAACAAUCAAGCCACCUGGUCAAUGAAAAAGGUUGAACAGUGCAUAUACAAAUGACAACUGGAUGCUUGGAGCUGGAGUUCAACCAGCGACCUUUGGACCACAGCGUUUCAGGAACUUCUUAAAGUCAUGUGCUCUACCAACUGAGCUAUGAAGGUGCUUAUAGACACAAACGCAGAAAACAUAGUGGCUUCGGCGACACACUUUGCCAACAAUACAAUUGGACCCACAUGGUCAAUGAAAAAGGUUGAACAGUGCAUAGACCAAUGAAAUCUGGUGUUUGGAGCUGGAGUUGAACCAGCGACCUUUGGACCACAGCGUUUCAGGAACUUCUUAAAGUCAUGUGCUCUACCAACUGAGCUAUGAAGGUGCUUAUAGAUAAAAACGCAGAAAACAUAGUGGCUUCGGCGACACACUUUGCCAAAACAACAAUCAAGCCACCUGGUCAAUGAAAAAGGAUGAACAGUGCAUAUACAAAUGAAAUCUGGUGCUUGGAGCUGGAGUUGAACCAGAGACCUUUGGACCACAGCGUUUCAGGAACUUCUUAAAGUCAUGUGCUCUACCAACUGAGCUAUGAAGGUGCUUAUAGAUAAAAACGCAGAAAACAUAGUGGCUUCGGCGACACACUUUGCCAACACAACAAUCAAGCCACCUGGUCAAUGAAAAAGGUUGAACAGUGCAUAGACCAAUAAAAUCUGGUGUUUGGAGCAGGAGUUGAAGCAGCGACCUUUGGACCACAGCAUUUCAGGAACUUCUUAAAGUCAUGUGCUCUACCAACUGAGCUAUGAAGGUGCUUAUAGAUAAAAACGCAGAAAACAUAGUGGCUUCGGCGACACACUUUGCCAACAUAACUAUUGAACUAACAUGGUCAAUGAAAAAGGUUGAACAGUGCAUACACAAAUGAAAUCUGGUGUUUGGAGCUGGAGUUGAACCAGCGACCUUUGGACCACAGCGUUUUAGGAACUUCUUAAAGUCAUGUGCUCUACCAACUGAGCUAUGAAGGUCCUUUUAGAUAAAAACGCAGAAAACAUAGUGGCUUCGGCGACACACUUUGCCAAAACAACAAUCAAGCCACCUGGUCAAUGAAAAAGGAUGAACAGUGCAUAUACAAAUGAAAUCUGGUGCUUGGAACUGGAGUUGAACCAGCGACCUUUGGACCACAGCGUUUCAGGAACUUCUUAAACACAUGUGCUCUACCAACUGAGCUAUGAAGGUGCUUAUAGAUAAAAACGCAGAAAACAUAGUAGCUUCGGCGACACACUUUGCCAAAACAACAAUCAAGCCACCUGGUCAAUGAAAAAGGAUGAACAGUGCAUAUACAAAUGAAAUCUGGUGCUUGGAGCUGGAGUUGAACCAGCGACCUUUGGACCACAGCGUUUCAGGAACUUCUUAAAGUCAUGUGCUCUACCAACUGAGCUAUGAAGGUGCUUAUAGAUAAAAACGCAGAAAACAUAGUGGCUUCGGCGACACACUUUGCCAAAACAACAAUCAAGCCACCUGGUCAAUGAAAAAGGAUGAACAGUGCAUAUACAAAUGAAAUCGGGUGCUUGGAACUGGAGUUGAACCAGCGACCUUUGGACCACAGCGUUUCAGGAACUUCUUAAAGUCAUGUGCUCUACCAACUGAGCUAUGAAGGUGCUUAUAGAUAAAAACGCAGAAAACAUAGUGGCUUCGGCGACACACUUUGCCAACAUAACUAUUGAACCAACAUGGUCAAUGAAAAAGGUUGAACAGUGCAUAGACCAAUGAAAUGUGGUGUUUGGAGCAGGAGUUAAACCAGCGUCCUUUGGACCACAGCGUUUCAGGAACUUCUUAAAGUCAUGUGCUCUACCAACUGAGCUAUGAAGGUGCUUAUAGACACAAACGCAGAAAACAUAGUGGCUUCGGCGACACACUUUGCCAACAAUACAAUUGGACCCACAUGGUCAAUGAAAAAGGUUGAACAGUGCAUAGACCAAUGAAAUCUGUUGUUUGGAGCAGGAGUUGAACCAGCGACCUUUGGACCACAGCGUUUCAGGAACUUCUUAAAGUCAUGUGCUCUACCAACUGAGCUAUGAAGGUGCUUAUAGAUAAAAACGCAGAAAACAUAGUGGCUUCGGCGACACACUUUGCCAACAUAACUAUUGAACCAACAUGGUCAAUGAAAAAGGUUGAACAGUGCAUAUACAAAUGAAAUCUGGUGUUUGGAGCUGGAGUUGAACCAGCGACCUUUGGACCACAGCGUUUCAGGAACUUCUUAAAGUCAUGUGCUCUACCAACUGAGCUAUGAAGGUGCUUAUAGAUAAGAACGCAGAAAACAUAGUGGCUUCGGCGACACACUUUGCCAACAUAACUAUUGAACCAACAUGGUCAAUGAAAAAGGUUGAACAGUGCAUAAAUGAAUGAAAUCUGGUGUUUGGAGCAGGAGUUGAACCAGCGACCUUUGGACCACAGCAUUUCAGGAACUUCUUAAAGUCAUGUGCUCUUCCAACUGAGCUAUGAAGGUCCUUUUAGAUAAAAACGCAGAAAACAUAGUGGCUUCGGCGACACACUUUGCCAAAACAACAAUCAAGCCACCUGGUCAAUGAAAAAGGAUGAACAGUGCAUAUACAAAUGAAAACUGGAUGCUUGGAGCUGGAGUUGAACCAGCGACCUUAGGACCAUAGCGUUUCAGGAACUUCUUAAAGUCAUGUGCUCUACCAACUGAGCUAUGAAGGUGCUUAUAGAUAAAAACGCAGAAAACAUAGUGGCUUCGGCGACACACUUUGCCAAAACAACAAUCAAGCCACCUGGUCAAUGAAAAAGGAUGAACAGUGCAUAUACAAAUGAAAUCUGUUGCUUGGAGCUGGAGUUGAACCAGGGAGCUUUGGAGCACAGCGUUUAAGGAACUUCUUAAACACAUGUGCUCUACCAACUGAGCUAUGAAGGUGCUUAUAGAUAAAAACGCAGAAAACAUAGUGGCUUCGGCGACACACUUUGCCAAAACAACAAUCAAGCCACCUGGUCAAUGAAAAAGGAUGAACAGUGCAUAUACAAAUGAAAUCUGGUGCUUGGAGCUGGAGUUGAACCAGGGACCUUUGGACAACAGCGUUUCAGGAACUUCUUACAGUCAUGUGCUCUACCAACUGAGCUAUGAAGGUGCUUAUAGAUGAAAACGCAGAAAACAUAGUGGCUUCGGCGACACACUUUGCCAACACAACAAUCAAGCCACCUGGUCAAUGAAAAAGGUUGAACAGUGCAUAAAUCAAUGAAAUCUGGUGUUUGGAGCAGGAGUUGAACCAGCGACCUUUGGACCACAGCAUUUCAGGAACUUCUUAAAGUCAUGUGGUCUACCAACUGAGCUAUGAAGGUCCUUUUAGAUAAAAACGCAGAAAACAUAGUGGCUUCGGCGACACACUUUGCCAAAACAACAAUCAAGCCACCUGGUCAAUGAAAAAGGUUGAACAGUGCAUAUACAAAUGACAACUGGAUGCUUGGAGCUGGAGUUCAACCAGCGACCUUUGGACCACAGCGUUUCAGGAACUUCUUAAAGUCAUGUGCUCUACCAACUGAGCUAUGAAGGUGCUUAUAGACACAAACGCAGAAAACAUAGUGGCUUCGGCGACACACUUUGCCAACAAUACAAUUGGACCCACAUGGUCAAUGAAAAAGGUUGAACAGUGCAUAGACCAAUGAAAUCUGGUGUUUGGAGCUGGAGUUGAACCAGCGACCUUUGGACCACAGCGUUUCAGGAACUUCUUAAAGUCAUGUGCUCUACCAACUGAGCUAUGAAGGUGCUUAUAGAUAAAAACGCAGAAAACAUAGUGGCUUCGGCGACACACUUUGCCAAAACAACAAUCAAGCCACCUGGUCAAUGAAAAAGGAUGAACAGUGCAUAUACAAAUGAAAUCUGUUGUUUGGAGCAGGAGUUGAACCAGCGACCUUUGGACCACAGCGUUUCAGGAACUUCUUAAAGUCAUGUGCUCUACCAACUGAGCUAUGAAGGUGCUUAUAGAUAAAAACGCAGAAAACAUAGUGGCUUCGGCGACACACUUUGCCAAAACAACAAUCAAGCCACCUGGUCAAUGAAAAAGGAUGAACAGUGCAUAUACAAAUUAAAUCUGUUGUUUGGAGCAGGAGUUGAACCAGCGACCUUUGGACCACAGCGUUUCAGGAACUUCUUAAAGUCAUGUGCUCUACCAACUGAGCUAUGAAGGUGCUUAUAGAUAAAAACGCAGAAAACAUAGUGGCUUCGGCGACACACUUUGCCAACACAACAAUCAAGCCACCUGGUCAAUGAAAAAGGUUGAACAGUGCAUAGACCAAUGAAAUCUGGUGUUUGGAGCUGGAGUUGAACAAGCGACCUUUGGACCACAGCGUUUCAGGAACUUCUUAAAGUCAUGUGCUCUACCAACUGAGCUAUGAAGGUGCUUAUAGAUAAAAACGCAGAAAACAUAGUGGCUUCGGCGACACACUUUGCCAAAACAACAAUCAAGCCACCUGGUCAAUGAAAAAGGAUGAACAGUGCAUAUACAAAUGAAAUCUGGUGCUUGGAGCUGGAGUUGAACCAGGGACCUUUGGACCACAGCGUUUCAGGAACUUCUUACAGUCAUGUGCUCUACCAACUGAGCUAUGAAGGUGCUUAUAGAUGAAAAUGCAGAAAACAUAGUGGCUUCGGCGACACACUUUGCCAACACAACAAUCAAGCCACCUGGUCAAUGAAAAAGGUUGAACAGUGCAUAAAUCAAUGAAAUCUGGUGUUUGGAGCAGGAGUUGAAGCAGCGACCUUUGGACCACAGCGUUUCAGGAACUUCUUAAAGUCAUGUGCUCUACCAACUGAGCUAUGAAGGUGCUUAUAGAUAAAAACGCAGAAAACAUAGUGGCUUCGGCGACACACUUUGCCAACAUAACUAUUGAACCAACAUGGUCAAUGAAAAAGGAUGAACAGUGCAUAGACCAAUGAAAUGUGGUGUUUGGAGCUGGAGUUGAACCAGCGUCCUUUGGACCACAGGGUUUAAGGAACUUCUUAAAGUCAUGUGCUCUACCAACUGAGCUAUGAAGGUGCUUAUAGAUAAAAACGCAGAAAACAUAGUGGCUUCGGCGACACACUUUGCCAAAACAACAAUCAAGCCACCUGGUCAAUGAAAAAGGAUGAACAGUGCAUAGACCAAUGAAAUCUGGUGUUUGGAGCAGGAGUUGAACCAGCGACCUUUGGACCACAGCGUUUCGGGAACUUGUUAAAGUCAUGUGCUCUACCAACUGAGCUAUGAAGGUGCUUAUAGAUAAAAACGCAGAAAACAUAGUGGCUUCGGCGACACACUUUGCCAAAACAACAAUCAAGCCACCUGGUCAAUGAAAAAGGAUGAACAGUGCAUAUACAAAUGAAAUCUGGUGCUUGGAGCUGGAGUUGAACCAGCGACCUUUGGACCACAGCGUUUCAGGAACUUCUUAAAGUCAUGUGCUCUACCAACUGAGCUAUGAAGGUGCUUAUAGAUAAAAACGCAGAAAACAUAGUGGCUUCGGCGACACACUUUGCCAACAUAACUAUUGAACCAACAUGGUCAAUGAAAAAGGUUGAACAGUGCAUACACCAAUGAAAUCUGGUGUUUGGAGCUGGAGUUGAACCAGCGUCCUUUGGACCACAGCGUUUAAGGAACUUCUUAAAGUCAUGUGCUCUACCAACUGAGCUAUGAAGGUGCUUAUAGAUAAAAACGCAGAAAACAUAGUGGCUUCGGCGACACACUUUGCCAAAACAACAAUCAAGCCACCUGGUCAAUGAAAAAGGAUGAACAGUGCAUAUACAAAUGAAAUCUGGUGCUUGGAGCUGGAGUUGAACCAGGGACCUUUGGACCACAGCGUUUUAGGAACUUCUUAAAGUCAUGUGCUCUACCAACUGAGCUAUGAAGGUGCUUAUAGAUAGAAACGCAGAAAACAUAGUGGCUUCAGCGACACACUUUGCCAACAUAACUAUUGAACCAACAUGGUCAAUGAAAAAGGUUGAACAGUGCAUACACCAAUGAAAUCUGGUGUUUGGAGCUGGAGUUGAACCAGCGACCUUUGGACCACAGCGUUUCAGGAACUUCUUAAAGUCAUGUGCUCUACCAACUGAGCUAUGAAGGUGCUUAUAGAUAAAAACGCAGAAAACAUAGUGGCUUCGGCGACACACUUUGCCAAAACAACAAUCAAGCCACCUGGUCAAUGAAAAAGGAUGAACAGUGCAUAUACAAAUGAAAUCUGGUGUUUGGAGCAGGAGUUGAACCAGCGACCUUUGGACCACAGCGUUUCGGGAACUUCUUAAAGUCAUGUGCUCUACCAACUGAGCUAUGAAGGUGCUUAUAGAUAAAAACGCAGAAAACAUAGUGGCUUCGGCGACACACUUUGCCAAAACAACAAUCAAGCCACCUGGUCAAUGAAAAAGGAUGAACAGUGCAUAUACAAAUGAAAUCUGGUGCUUGGAGCUGGAGUUGAACCAGCGACCUUUGGACCACAGCGUUUUAGGAACUUCUUAAAGUCAUGUGCUCUACCAACUGAGCUAUGAAGGUGCUUAUAGAUAAAAACGCAGAAAACAUAGUGGCUUCGGCGACACACUUUGCAAACAUAACUAUUGAACCAACAUGGUCAAUGAAAAAGGUUGAACAGUGCAUACACCAAUGAAAUCUGGUGUUUGGAGCAGGAGUUGAAACAGCGUCCUUUGGACCACAGCGUUUCAGGAACUUCUUAAAGUCAUGUGCUCUACCAACUGAGCUAUGAAGGUGCUUAUGGACACAAACGCAGAAAACAUAGUGGCUUCGGCGACACACUUUGCCAACAAUACAAUUGGACCGACAUGGUCAAUGAAAAAGGUGUAACAGUGCAUAGACCAAUGAAAUCUGGUGUUUGGAGCAGGAGUUGAACCAGCGACCUUUGGACCACAGCGUUUCAGGAACUUCUUAAAGUCAUGUGCUCUACCAACUGAGCUAUGAAGGUGCUUAUAGAUAAAAACGCAGAAAACAUAGUGGCUUCGGCGACACACUUUGCCAACAUAACUAUUGAACCAACAUGGUCAAUGAAAAAGGUUGAACAGUGCAUAUACAAAUGAAAUCUGGUGUUUGGAGCUGGAGUUGAACCAGCGACCUUUGGACCACAGCGUUUCAGGAACUUCUUAAAGUCAUGUGCUCUACCAACUGAGCUAUGAAGGUGCUUAUAGAUAAAAACGCAGAAAACAUAGUGGCUUCGGCGACACACUUUGCCAACAUAACUAUUGAACCAACAUGGUCAAUGAAAAAGGUUGAACAGUGCAUACACCAAUGAAAUCUGGUGUUUGGAGCUGGAGUUGAACCAGCGUCCUUUGGACCACAGCGUUUAAGGAACUUCUUAAAGUCAUGUGCUCUACCAACUGAGCUAUGAAGGUGCUUAUAGAUAAAAACGCAGAAAACAUAGUGGCUUCGGCGACACACUUUGCCAACAAUACAAUUGGACCCACAUGGUCAAUGAAAAAGGUUGAACAGUGCUUAGACAAAUGAAAUCUGGUGUUUGGAGCAGGAGUUGAACCAGCGACCUUUGGACCACAGCGUUUCGGGAACUUCUUAAAGUCAUGUGCUCUACCAACUGAGCUAUGAAGGUGCUUAUAGAUAAAAACGCAGAAAACAUAGUGGCUUCGGCGACACACUUUGCCAAAACAACAAUCAAGCCACCUGGUCAAUGAAAAAGGAUGAACAGUGCAUAUACAAAUGAAAUCUGGUGCUUGGAGCUGGAGUUGAACCAGCGACCUUUGGACCACAGCGUUUUACGAAACUUCUUAAAGUCAUGUGCUCUACCAACUGAGCUAUGAAGGUGCUUAUAGAUUAAAACUUAGAAAACAUAGUGGCUUCGGCGACACACUUUGCCAACACAACAAUCAAGCCACCUGGUCAAUGAAAAAGGAUGAACAGUGCAUAUACAAAUGAAAUCUGGUGCUUGGAGCAAGAGUUGAACCAGCGACCUUUGGACCACAGCGUUUCAGGAACUUCUUAAAGUCAUGUGCUCUACCAACUGAGCUAUGAAGGUGCUUAUAGAUAAAAACGCAGAAAACAUAGUGGCUUCGGCGACACACUUUGCCAACAUAACUAUUGAACCAACAUGGUCAAUGAAAAAGGUUGAACAGUGCAUAUACAAAUGAAAUCUGGUGUUUGGAGCUGGAGUUGAACCAGCGACCUUUGGACCACAGCGUUUCAGGAACUUCUUAAAGUCAUGUGCUCUACCAACUGAGCUAUGAAGGUGCUUAUAGAUAAAAACGCAGAAAACAUAGUGGCUUCGGCGACACACUUUGCCAACAUAACUAUUGAACCAACAUGGUCAAUGAAAAAGGUUGAACAGUGCAUACACCAAUGAAAUCUGGUGUUUGGAGCUGGAGUUGAACCAGCGUCCUUUGGACCACAGCGUUUAAGGAACUUCUUAAAGUCAUGUGCUCUACCAACUGAGCUAUGAAGGUGCUUAUAGAUAAAAACGCAGAAAACAUAGUGGCUUCGGCGACACACUUUGCCAACAAUACAAUUGGACCCACAUGGUCAAUGAAAAAGGUUGAACAGUGCUUAGACAAAUGAAAUCUGGUGUUUGGAGCUGGAGUUGAACCAGCGACCUUUGGACCACAGCGUUUCAGGAACUUCUUAAAGUCAUGUGCUCUACCAACUGAGCUAUGAAGGUGCUUAUAGAUAAAAACGCAGAAAACAUAGUGGCUUCGGCGACACACUUUGCCAAAACAACAAUCAAGCCACCUGGUCAAUGAAAAAGGAUGAACAGAGCAUAUACAAAUGAAAUCUGGUGCUUGGAGCUGGAGUUGAACCAGGGACCUUUGGACCACAGCGUUUCAGGAACUUCUUACAGUCAUGUGCUCUACCAACUGAGCUAUGAAGGUGCUUAUAGAUGAAAACGCAGAAAACAUAGUGGCUUCGGCGACACACUUUGCCAACACAACAAUCAAGGCACCUGGUCAAUGAAAAAGGUUGAACAGUGCAUAAAUCAAUGAAAUCUGGUGUUUGGAGCAGGAGUUGAACCAGCGACCUUUGGACCACAGCAUUUCAGGAACUUCUUAAAGUCAUGUGCUCUACCAACUGAGCUAUGAAGGUGCUUAUAGAUAAAAACGCAGAAAACAUAGUGGCUUCGGCGACACACUUUGCCAAAACAACAAUCAAGCCACCUGGUCAAUGAAAAAGGAUGAACAGUGCAUAUACAAAUGACAACUGGAUGCUUGGAGCAGGAGUUGAACCAGCAACCUUUGGACCACAGCAUUUCAGGAACUUCUUAAAGUCAUGUGCUCUACCAACUGAGCUAUGAAGGUGCUUAUAGAUAAAAACGCAGAAAACAUAGUGGCUUCGGCGACACACUUUGCCAAAACAACAAUCAAGCCACCUGGUCAAUGAAAAAGGAUGAACAGUGCAUAUACAAAUGACAACUGGAUGCUUGGAGCUGGAGUUGAACCAGCGACCUUUGGACCACAGCGUUUCAGGAACUUCUUAAAGUCAUGUGCUCUACCAACUGAGCUAUGAAGGUGCUUAUAGAUAAAAACGCAGAAAACAUAGUGGCUUCGGCGACACACUUUGCCAAAACAACAAUCAAGCCACCUGGUCAAUGAAAAAGGAUGAACAGUGCAUAUACAAAUGAAAUCUGGUGCUUGGAGCUGGAGUUGAACCAGCGACCUUUGGACCACAGCGUUUCAGGAACUUCUUAAAGUCAUGUGCUCUACCAACUGAGCUAUGAAGGUGCUUAUAGAUAAAAACGCAGAAAACAUAGUGGCUUCGGCGACACACUUUGCCAACAUAACUAUUGAACCAACAUGGUCAAUGAAAAAGGUUGAACAGUGCAUAGACCAAUGAAAUGUGGUGUUUGGAGCAGGAGUUGAACCAGCGUCCUUUGGACCACAGCGUUUCAGGAACUUCUUAAAGUCAUGUGCUCUACCAACUGAGCUAUGAAGGUGCUUAUAGACACAAACGCAGAAAACAUAGUGGCUUCGGCGACACACUUUGCCAACAAUACAAUUGGACCCACAUGGUCAAUGAAACAGGUUGAACAGUGCAUAGACCAAUGAAAUCUGGUGUUUGGAGCAGGAGUUGAACCAGCGACCUUUGGACCACAGCGUUUCAGGAACUUCUUAAAGUCAUGUGCUCUACCAACUGAGCUAUGAAGGUGCUUAUAGAUAAAAACGCAGAAAACAUAGUGGCUUCGGCGACACACUUUGCCAACAUAACUAUUGAACCAACAUGGUCAAUGAAAAAGGUUGAACAGUGCUUAGACAAAUGAAAUCUGGUGUUUGGAGCUGGAGUUGAACCAGCGACCUUUGGACAACAGCGUUUCAGGAACUUCUUAAAGUCAUGUGCUCUACCAACUGAGCUAUGAAGGUGCUUAUAGAUAAAAACGCAGAAAACAUAGUGGCUUCGGCGACACACUUUGCCAACAUAACUAUUGAACCAACAUGGUCAAUGAAAAAGGUUGAACAGUGCAUACACCAAUGAAAUCUGGUGUUUGGAGCUGGAGUUGAACCAGCGUCCUUUGGACCACAGCGUUUAAGGAACUUCUUAAAGUCAUGUGCUCUACCAACUGAGCUAUGAAGGUGCUUAUAGAUAAAAACGCAGAAAACAUAGUGGCUUCGGCGACACACUUUGCCAAAACAACAAUCAAGCCACCUGGUCAAUGAAAAAGGAUGAACAGUGCAUAUACAAAUGAAAUCUGGUGCUUGGAGCUGGAGUUGAACCAGCGACCUUUGGACCACAGCGUUUCAGGAACUUCUUAAAGUCAUGUGCUCUACCAACUGAGCUAUGAAGGUGCUUAUAGAUAAAAACGCAGAAAACAUAGUGGCUUCGGCGACACACUUUGCCAACAUAACUAUUGAACCAACAUGGUCAAUGAAAAAGGUUGAACAGUGCAUAGACCAAUGAAAUGUGGUGUUUGGAGCAGGAGUUGAACCAGCGUCCUUUGGACCACAGCGUUUCAGGAACUUCUUAAAGUCAUGUGCUCUACCAACUGAGCUAUGAAGGUGCUUAUAGACACAAACGCAGAAAACAUAGUGGCUUCGGCGACACACUUUACCAACAAUACAAUUGGACCCACAUGGUCAAUGAAAAAGGUUGAACAGUGCAUAGACCAAUGAAAUCUGGUGUUUGGAGCAGGAGUUGAACCAGCGACCUUUGGACCACAGCGUUUCAGGAACUUCUUAAAGUCAUGUGCUCUACCAACUGAGCUAUGAAGGUGCUUAUAGAUAAAAACGCAGAAAACAUAGUGGCUUCGGCGACACACUUUGCCAACAUAACUAUUGAACCAACAUGGUCAAUGAAAAAGGUUGAACAGUGCAUAGACCAAUGAAAUGUGGUGUUUGGAGCAGGAGUUGAACCAGCGUCCUUUGGACCACAGCGUUUCAGGAACUUCUUAAAGUCAUGUGCUCUACGAACUGAGCUAUGAAGGUGCUUAUAGACACAAACGCAGAAAACAUAGUGGCUUCGGCGACACACUUUGCCAACAAUACAAUUGGACCCACAUGGUCAAUGAAAAAGGUUGAACAGUGCAUAGACCAAUGAAAUCUGGUGUUUGGAGCAGGAGUUGAACCAGCGACCUUUGGACCACAGCGUUUCAGGAACUUCUUAAAGUCAUGUGCUCUACCAACUGAGCUAUGAAGGUGCUUAUAGAUAAAAACGCAGAAAACAUAGUGGCUUCGGCGACACACUUUGCCAACAUAACUAUUGAACCAACAUGGUCAAUGAAAAAGGUUGAACAGUGCAUACACCAAUGAAAUCUGGUGUUUGGAGCUGGAGUUGAACCAGCGUCCUUUGGACCACAGCGUUUAAGGAACUUCUUAAAGUCAUGUGCUCUACCAACUGAGCUAUGAAGGUGCUUAUAGAUAAAAACGCAGAAAACAUAGUGGCUUCGGCGACACACUUUGCCAACAAUACAAUUGGACCCACAUGGUCAAUGAAAAAGGUUGAACAGUGCUUAGACAAAUGAAAUCUGGUGUUUGGAGCUGGAGUUGAACCAGCGACCUUUGGACCACAGCGUUUCAGGAACUUCUUACAGUCAUGUGCUCUACCAACUGAGCUAUGAAGAUGCUUAUAGAUAAAAACGCAGAAAACAUAGUGGCUUCGGCGACACACUUUGCCAAAACAACAAUCAAGCCACCUGGUCAAUGAAAAAGGAUGAACAGUGCAUAUACAAAUGAAAUCUGGUGCUUGGAGCUGGAGUUGAACCAGGGACCUUUGGACAACAGCGUUUCAGGAACUUCUUACAGUCAUGUGCUCUACCAACUGAGCUAUGAAGGUGCUUAUAGAUGAAAACGCAGAAAACAUAGUGGCUUCGGCGACACACUUUGCCAACACAACAAUCAAGCCACCUGGUCAAUGAAAAAGGUUGAACAGUGCAUAAAUCAAUGAAAUCUGGUGUUUGGAGCAGGAGUUGAACCAGCGACCUUUGGACCACAGCAUUUCAGGAACUUCUUAAAGUCAUGUGCUCUACCAACUGAGCUAUGAAGGUGCUUAUAGAUAAAAACGCAGAAAACAUAGUGGCUUCGGCGACACACUUUGCCAAAACAACAAUCAAGCCACCUGGUCAAUGAAAAAGGUUGAACAGUGCAUAUACAAAUGACAACUGGAUGCUUGGAGCUGGAGUUGAACCAGCGACCUUUGGACCACAGCGUUUCAGGAACUUCUUAAAGUGAUGUGCUCUACCAACUGAGCUAUGAAGGUGCUUAUAGACACAAACGCAGAAAACAUAGUGGCUUCGGCGACACACUUUGCCAACAAUACAAUUGGACCCACAUGGUCAAUGAAAAAGGUUGAACAGUGCAUAGACCAAUGAAAUCUGGUGUUUGGAGCUGGAGUUGAACCAGCGACCUUUGGACCACAGCGUUUCAGGAACUUCUUAAAGUCAUGUGCUCUACCAACUGAGCUAUGAAGGUGCUUAUAGAUAAAAACGCAGAAAACAUAGUGGCUUCGGCGACACACUUUGCCAAAACAACAAUCAAGCCACCUGGUCAAUGAAAAAGGAUGAACAGUGCAUAUACAAAUGAAAUCUGGUGCUUGGAGCUGGAGUUGAACCAGAGACCUUUGGACCACAGCGUUUCAGGAACUUCUUAAAGUCAUGUGCUCUACCAACUGAGCUAUGAAGGUGCUUAUAGAUAAAAACGCAGAAAACAUAGUGGCUUCGGCGACACACUUUGCCAACACAACAAUGAAGCAACCUGGUCAAUGAAAAAGGUUGAACAGUGCAUAGACCAAUAAAAUCUGGUGUUUGGAGCAGGAGUUGAACAAGCGACCUUUGGACCACAGCGUUUCAGGAACUUCUUAAAGUCAUGUGCUCUACCAACUGAGCUAUGAAGGUGCUUAUAGAUAAAAACGCAGAAAACAUAGUGGCUUCGGCGACACACUUUGCCAAAACAACAAUCAAGCCACCUGGUCAAUGAAAAAGGAUGAACAGUGCAUAUACAAAUGAAAUCUGGUGCUUGGAGGUGGAGUUGAACCAGGGACCUUUGGACCACAGCGU
rnacentral:lncRNA from 1 species